rnacentral:misc_RNA from 1 species
GUGAAUCAUCAAAUUUUUGAACGCAAAUUGCACUCCCUGGUAUUCCGGGGAGUAUGCCUGUUUGAGGGUCGUUAGAAGAAAAAUCGACGCAUCGCCCUUUUUUUGAGGGUGAUCGCGUCGGAAUUGAGCCGUCUUCCAAAUGUUAAUUCAUGUCAAAGUGGCUUAAAAUUCAUCCAUCCGGUACGAUUAAAGCGUAUUUAACAUCAACUUUUAUUAAGAACGCUCGAUGACGUACC